AGUCGAGCGGACUUGAAGAGAAGCUUGCUUCUCUGAUGGUUAGCGGCGGACGGGUGAGUAACACGUAGGCAACCUGCCCUCAAGUUUGGGACAACUACCGGAAACGGUAGCUAAUACCGAAUAAUUGUUUUCUUCGCCUGAAGGAAACUGGAAAGACGGAGCAAUCUGUCACUUGGGGAUGGGCCUGCGGCGCAUUAGCUAGUUGGUGGGGUAACGGCUCACCAAGGCGACGAUGCGUAGCCGACCUGAGAGGGUGAUCGGCCACACUGGGACUGAGACACGGCCCAGACUCCUACGGGAGGCAGCAGU
rnacentral:rRNA from 4 species